CCUACGGGUGGCAGCAGUGGGGAAUAUUGGACAAUGGGGGGAACCCUGAUCCAGCCAUGCCGCGUGUGUGAAGAAGGCCCUCGGGCUGUAAAGCACUUUCAGUGAGGAAGAACGCCUGGUGGUUAAUACCCAUCAGGAAAGACAUCACUCACAGAAGAAGCACCGGCUAACUCCGUGCCAGCAGCCGCGGUAAUACGGAGGGUGCGAGCGUUAAUCGGAAUUACUGGGCGUAAAGCGCGCGUAGGUGGCUUGAUAAGCCGGUUGUGAAAGCCCCGGGCUCAACCUGGGAACGGCAUCCGGAACUGUCAAGCUAGAGUGCAGGAGAGGAAGGUAGAAUUCCCGGUGUAGCGGUGAAAUGCGUAGAGAUCGGGAGGAAUACCAGUGGCGAAGGCGGCCUUCUGGACUGACACUGACACUGAGGUGCGAAAGCGUGGGUAGCAAACAGGAUUAGAUACCCUUGUAGUC
rnacentral:rRNA from 1 species